CAGUCAAUCUUCCUACUUCUCGCAGCUGUUGACGGAGGACCUGCACACGAUUUCAAGACAGGGAUUUGCAAGUGUGUUAGGAUUACUGCAGUAAGUUUCUGAUGAGCAGUGGUCCCAAGGCUCUGCCAGAUCUGAGCCUGCCCAUACUGAACACUUAAGGCAGAGUCAGUGUCCUGGGUUAUGUAUUUUUAGAACGCUGCACAAUUCCCACUUUCGUGUUAUAUAAAUUCCACGUAACGCAGGAAGUCCGCAGCAGCAUGUGGAGGAUAAGAGUCAUCAUUUGGCUGCGAUAACUUUUCCUUAUAUUUUCUCUUCUUUAAUUAAAAAAAAAAUACAGUUCUGUAACUGUCAGGAGGAAUUCUACUUUUUAGAAAACUGGCACUGAAGAUGAAACCGUGAGUCCCAUGCAUGCUAGAUUCCUCUCUUACAGCUCGAGUAGCCUUCUCAGUCGAACCGUUCAUGUUGCGAGCUGCUGGCGGGUGCAACAUUUUGGCGCCAGAACUGGGACCUGAAGAAUGGCAGAGAGAUGCUAAGAGGAACGCUGUGGUGGAGCUCCACAGGAAAGGAUCUUCAUAUCGGACAUCGGAGCAACGGACAGGUACACAUGCUAGCGCUAGCUUAAAAUUUCAGUUUUGUAAAGUGUUGCUGAGGAUGC
rnacentral:lncRNA from 1 species